AGCCACAAGUCUAUAUUUGUGGUUGAACCUGCCCAAUGUGGAAGAAUGAAUGGCCGCGGUACUCUGACCGUGCUAAGGUAGCGUAAUCAGUUGGCUUUUAAAUGGAGUCAGGAAUGAAUGGAUUUACCGGGCUUAGCUGUCUCCAAGAUAUUAUAUUGAAUUUACUGUUUAAGUGAAAAAGCUUAAUUUAAAAAAAGGGACGAGAAGACCCUUAGAAUUUUUUCUAUUUUAGUGUAUUUACUUUUAAGGUUACUAAUAAUGAUUUUAUUGGGGCGAUAAAGAAAUAAUUUUUAACUUUCUUUGAAACACAAGCCGAAUAUAUUAAGAGAGGAUAAAUUACCUGAGGGAUAACAGCAUAAUUCUAUAAAUGAGUUUGUGACCUCGAUGUUGGACUAGGAAACUGAUAAGCUAGGCGCUUAUUUUGUGGGUUCUGUUCGAACUUUUAUUCCU
rnacentral:rRNA from 1 species